GACGAACGCUGGCGGCGUGCUUAACACAUGCAAGUCGAACGGAAAGGCCCUGCUUUUGUGGGGUGCUCGAGUGGCGAACGGGUGAGUAACACGUGAGUAACCUGCCCUUGACUUUGGGAUAACUUCAGGAAACUGGGGCUAAUACCGGAUAGGAGCUCCUGCUGCAUGGUGGGGGUUGGAAAGUUUCGGCGGUUGGGGAUGGACUCGCGGCUUAUCAGCUUGUUGGUGGGGUAGUGGCUUACCAAGGCUUUGACGGGUAGCCGGCCUGAGAGGGUGACCGGCCACACUGGGACUGAGAUAAGGCCCAGACUGCUACGGGAGGGAGCAGGGGGGAAGAUUGCACAAUGGGCGGAAGCCGGAUGCAGCAACGCCGCGUGCGGGAUGACGGCCUUCGGGUUGUAAACCGCUUUCGCCUGUGACGAAGCGUGAGUGAAGGUAAUGGGUAAAGAAGGACCGGCUAACUACGUG
rnacentral:rRNA from 1 species